GGAUUAGAUACCCUGGUAGUCCACGCCGUAAACGAUGUCUACUAGCUGUUCGUUCUGUUAAGGAGUGAGUGGCGCAGCUAACGCACUAAGUAGACCGCCUGGGGAGUACGGCCGCAAGGUUAAAACUCAAAUGAAUUGACGGGGGCCCGCACAAGCGGUGGAGCAUGUGGUUUAAUUCGAUGCAACGCGAAGAACCUUACCAUCCCUUGACAUCCUGAGAAGGUCUUAGAGAUAGGACUGUGCCCUCGGGAACUCAGAGACAGGUGCUGCAUGGCUGUCGUCAGCUCGUGUCG
rnacentral:rRNA from 1 species